AUCCUUUAACAUCGAGGCCGCAUUUUAUUUUUCUAAUAGUCUGUUCUCUUAAAGUUGUUCAUUGGUUAUUCCAGCGUUAUUCCAGAUUGAAAUUAUUGACUUUUAGGGCGGAGUAUUAUGAAAUUUUGCAGUAUUCUUAGUCACAGGCGGCAUGGUCUGGGGUCGACUGAAAAGGUUUCUAAACUUUGCCUUUCUCACCAAAAAUGUGUUGUCUGUAGUAUUGGUGUUUCCAGUCACAAUGAACCUCCAUCGCCAUUGCAGCAGAGGUUUGGUGUCACUGUUUUGGUCCACAAUAUCAGAAGGAUGAGUGACCUCAUUGAAAUGAGCUGAAUGAUUUUGUAUCUAAACAGAUGGCACUCAUCCUGUAAGACUGAGCCCUCUCCAGAAAUGAACUAACUGGUACCAUCCAAGUUAAUAUUCUUGGCUUUGGCGCUGUUCCUAAGGAUCUGUGGUCCCAGAAGUGCACUGAUGGCUUCUGAUAAUGGAUUUACACAAGUCUGGGUACCCAGUGACUCCCUGAUGGAGUCAAGACCGUUUUGGUCCUGGUGUAGGUGAAGUGAGGCAAGAUCAACACAAAGAGCAAAAGCUGUUUAUCUCUGUUCUCUGAGGGAGCCUUGAGUUUGGCUGUAUCUUACACUUUAUUGGAUGUUUGUGGAUCUAUAAGCUUUGUGAUUUAAGCCAAUAAAAGCAGCUUUAUCCAUCUUGA